GGGGCGAUAGCUCAGCUGGUAGAGCGCUUCGUUCGCAACGAAGAGGUCGGGAGUUCGACUCUCCUUCGCUCCAC
rnacentral:tRNA from 1 species